rnacentral:rRNA from 1 species
GACGAACGCUGGCGGCGUGCCUAAUACAUGCAAGUCGAGCGCAGGAAACUGACGGAACUCUUCGGAGGGAAGGCAGUGGAAUGAGCGGCGGACGGGUGAGUAACACGUAAGGAACCUGCCUCAAGGAUUGGGAUAACUCCGAGAAAUCGGAGCUAAUACCGGAUAGUUCAACGGACCGCAUGGUCCGCGGAUGAAAGGCCCUCCGGCGUCACCUUGAGAUGGCCUUGAGGUGCAUUAGCCAGUUGGUGGGGUAACGGCCCACCAAGGCGACGAUGCAUAGCCGACCUGAGAGGGUGAUCGGCCACACUGGGACUGAGACACGGCCCAGACUCCUACGGGAGGCAGCAGUAGGGAAUCUUCCACAAUGGACGAAAGUCUGAUGGAGCAACGCCGCGUGAGUGAUGAAGGUUUUCGGAUCGUAAAACUCUGUUGUAAGGGAAGAACACGUACGAGAGGAAAUGCUCGUACCUUGACGGUACCUUACGAGAAAGCCACGGCUAACUACGUGCCAGCAGCCGCCGUAACAC